GAUGAACGCUGGCGGCGUGCCUAAUACAUGCAAGUCGAGCGAACGGACGAGAAGCUUGCUUCUCUGAUGUUAGCGGCGGACGGGUGAGUAACACGUGGAUAACCUACCUAUAAGACUGGGAUAACUUCGGGAAACCGGAGCUAAUACCGGAUAAUAUUUUGAACCGCAUGGUUCAAAAGUGAAAGACGGUCUUGCUGUCACUUAUAGAUGGAUCCGCGCUGCAUUAGCUAGUUGGUAAGGUAACGGCUUACCAAGGCAACGAUGCAUAGCCGACCUGAGAGGGUGAUCGGCCACACUGGAACUGAGACACGGUCCAGACUCCUACGGGAGGCAGCAGUAGGGAAUCUUCCGCAAUGGGCGAAAGCCUGACGGAGCAACGCCGCGUGAGUGAUGAAGGUCUUCGGAUCGUAAAACUCUGUUAUUAGGGAAGAACAUAUGUGUAAGUAACUGUGCACAUCUUGACGGUACCUAAUCAGAAAGCCACGGCUAACUACGUGCCAGCAGCCGCGGUAAUACGUAGGUGGCAAGCGUUAUCCGGAAUUAUUGGGCGUAAAGCGCGCGUAGGCGGUUUUUUAAGUCUGAUGUGAAAGCCCACGGCUCAACCGUGGAGGGUCAUUGGAAACUGGAAAACUUGAGUGCAGAAGAGGAAAGUGGAAUUCCAUGUGUAGCGGUGAAAUGCGCAGAGAUAUGGAGGAACACCAGUGGCGAAGGCGACUUUCUGGUCUGUAACUGACGCUGAUGUGCGAAAGCGUGGGGAUCAAACAGGAUUAGAUACCCUGGUAGUCCACGCCGUAAACGAUGAGUGCUAAGUGUUAGGGGGUUUCCGCCCCUUAGUGCUGCAGCUAACGCAUUAAGCACUCCGCCUGGGGAGUACGACCGCAAGGUUGAAACUCAAAGGAAUUGACGGGGACCCGCACAAGCGGUGGAGCAUGUGGUUUAAUUCGAAGCAACGCGAAGAACCUUACCAAAUCUUGACAUCCUUUGACAACUCUAGAGAUAGAGCCUUCCCCUUCGGGGGACAAAGUGACAGGUGGUGCAUGGUUGUCGUCAGCUCGUGUCGUGAGAUGUUGGGUUAAGUCCCGCAACGAGCGCAACCCUUAAGCUUAGUUGCCAUCAUUAAGUUGGGCACUCUAAGUUGACUGCCGGUGACAAACCGGAGGAAGGUGGGGAUGACGUCAAAUCAUCAUGCCCCUUAUGAUUUGGGCUACACACGUGCUACAAUGGACAAUACAAAGGGCAGCGAAACCGCGAGGUCAAGCAAAUCCCAUAAAGUUGUUCUCAGUUCGGAUUGUAGUCUGCAACUCGACUACAUGAAGCUGGAAUCGCUAGUAAUCGUAGAUCAGCAUGCUACGGUGAAUAUGUUCCCGGGUCU
rnacentral:rRNA from 1 species